rnacentral:lncRNA from 1 species
CUUGUGUGAUUUUCUUUCAUCUUCUUUCUUUCAUCACCUUCUUUCUUUAUCUGUGACUGAAAAAAUAUACAUUAAUUCCUGGAAAAGCUUGCAAAACUCAGAAAGGAAAAACAAAACAAGAAUGCGGGCUGGGAGAAAAGACUUCAAAACAAAUGAACUGGAAUAAUCACUCCCAAGCUGAUGUUGUCCAGAAUGUGGUUCAGAGUCCUACAUUGAAUGAUGAACAGUGAAUGCCAGAUUAUCAUUUCAUCCUCAAAAGCUUCAUUCUCCAUAAUCUCCAGAAAGCUUUGUUAAGAUUCCUUUGGAGUCUAAGUGCUUUGCAGUUCACCUGGCCAGCAGUUCAUCUAUUUAUCCUUCAGAAGAGCUGAUCUGUUACUUCUGGCAAUGUGGCCAAGGGCACCGGUUUGGGAAGCUGAAAAGAAAUGUAUUCACAUACACAUCCCUGCAAUGGCGGUAAAUAUUAAAUUAUGUAUUCAAACUGGAACAGCUCUGACAGAGGAGACUGAAAAACUUGAUGGAGAGAUCAUGUAUCUGAAACAUGCAGACCAGGUUCCUGGUGUGAGCCAAAAAGAUGAAAGACAUAUAUGUUCCCCAGUCAAGGCUGUAUCCUUUUCCCUGUGAAAGAGGGAUGGUACUCUUGAGAUAACCAAAAAUUCAUUCUGAAGCCGAGAAGCCUUUUCCUGGUGCUGUCAAACCUCACGCACCAUUGUGCACUUUGAUUUUAGCGAAUGUGAAUUUUUCAUCUCAUCCUCAUUGAAUUACGCUGCAUUUUUCGAAUUCUGGCACCAGCCUGUUGGGAUCCUCCAGAGGUG